UAAUGUAUGGGGAUCUGCCCGAUAGAGGGGGAUAACUACUGGAAACGGUGGCUAAUACCGCAUAAUGUCUACGGACCAAAGCAGAGGCUCUUCGGACCUUGCACUAUCGGAUGAACCCAUAUGGGAUUAGCUAGUAGGUGGGGUAAAGGCUCACCUAGGCGACGAUCCCUAGCUGGUCUGAGAGGAUGAUCAGCCACACUGGGACUGAGACACGGCCCAG
rnacentral:rRNA from 1 species